CAGCGGAGGAAAAGAAACCAAAAGGGAUUUCCCGAGUAACUGCGAGUGAAAAGGAAUCAGCCCAGCGCAAAGGCCGCUCGCCCUUCGGGACGCUGCGUGCGAUGCUGCGUUAAUGCCGGGGCGACAGCCUCCUAGGCGACGGCACAUGCAAGUUCCUUUGAAUAGGACCAAGUAACCCAUAGCGGGUGGAAGGCCCAUAGCGUGUAGUCGUUGCCAAAGAGCCAGCCUCGGCAUGGUAGAGUCACGUUGCUUGAGAGUGCAGCGUUAAGACGGGACGUAAACUCGUCGUAAGGCUAAAUAAGACUGCGAGACCGAUAGCAAACAAGUACCGUGAGGGAAAGUUGCAAAGAACUUUGAAGAGAGAGUUCAACAGGACGUGAAACCGCUUGCGGGUAAACGGGUGGAGCCACGAAGUCAGAACGGGCCGGCAAUUCAGCCGGUGGCCGGGCGUAGGCUGUGAGUGUGGGCGCUUUCGGGUGACUCGCUUGCGGCUGCUUGAUGCCUGGCCGCCGGUGCAUUUUGCGCGGGCCCGGGAAGAUGCCCUGACCGAUUGGAGUGCUGCGGCAGCCGGUAACGGGAGUCCAGGGGACAGGUAGCGACAAGGGUGCUUCGGCGUCCGCGACGUGUUACAGUCCCCUGCUCGGUACUCGCCGCAGAAAGCCGAUCGGAUCAUAAGUCGCCUUCGGGCGUCGCAGACGGGGGGAGAGCCGCUGCCUGGGUGGGUGCUUGAUGCGUGCAACGCUACGGCGUCUUCGGACGUUGUGCCUGUGCCUUCGAGUGCCUAGCCUUGGGCGGCGGGGACCCUCCC
rnacentral:rRNA from 1 species